CUCUCGUAUCUGAGUCAGCAAAAAUUUCAGAACGCACAGAGGCCCAAAGGGAAAGACAAGGGGCGGCAUUCUCACAGGAUAAAAUUGAGUGGCGUUGUGGUGAUUGAGCAGGCAUGUGGAGAUAUUGCCGAUGUGGUGGCAUAACCCUGAUAUCCAGGAUCAGAUUGGCCUAGACAGCUUGUAGUGGUGAAGGAAAAAACAAACAAACAAUUGUCACAUCUACCUCCAGCCAAGAAACCCCCUGGUCUGCCACAGAGGAAUAAUGACCAGCAACCUAAUAAUCUCUCUGCUCUGUGCUAUGGACAUCCCCAGACAGACUAAGUCACUUGAAGGACACCCUCAGCAAAACCCCAUCCAACAAGCUGACACUAUACCAAACCUGGAUACCAAGGCCCAUGAAGCACUACAAAAAUUCCAAACCUGAGUGGUCCCAAGAUAUCAGAUAAAGUGAAUGUAGAACUACAAUGAUUAUGAUAAAAUAAUAAAUUAGUCCAAGGUAACAA